UGUUGCGUCAUACUUUGUUCAAGUCUUAUUAGUGUCAUAGACACCGGAUAUAUUUUAUUUCAUAAUGUCUACUGUUAAAUAAAACUGUUUAGUUGGCCUUGUGCAAUAUAUUCGAAAAGUGAUUGUGAUUUGUGAAUAUUUUGGACUCGGUCCUGAGACUUUCGGGAAUAAUAUAAUUUAUUUUAUAUUCACUAUUGUUUAUACAAAUAUAAAAUACUAUUUUUCAAAGUUUUUGCUCUAAUUGGAAGACACAAAGUGAAAGUAAAUCUGAACUACUAUUUCAUGUUUACUUUUAUCAUCGAGACUUUCAUCUGACAAAUUAUGUACAUUGGACCACAAUCAUUACGUCAAGAAUUUUAAAGCAAAACUAGUUUAUUAUAGAACUGCUUUGUGUUCAAUGUACUAUUUUAUCCACUUAAAAUAGUCAUUACAAUUUGAUUGAAAAUAAAAUUGGUGGAACUGCAUUGCACACGAAGACAGCUUUGGUGACGUUUAAUGAUGUUCAUCAUAAUUCAAUACUAAUUUCUGUAUUUUACAGGUGCAGGCAUAUUUGAUCGGACACUGUGAUUAUUACACAACGGUCAACUGGAAUGAUACGAUCAAAAUAUUUGGAAAGCAUUCAAAGUAUGAAUAACUUAGAGAUUUAUCAAACAAUGACAUUUUUAAGACGAUACAAACUUAUU